rnacentral:rRNA from 1 species
CCUACGGGAGGCAGCAGUGAGGAAUAUUGGUCAAUGGCCGGAACGCUGAACCAGCCAUGCCGCGUGAAUGUCAGUGCCCUAUGGGCGUUAAACUUCUUUUAUGCGGGAACAAUAAUUGUCACGUGUGGCCAGACGACAGUACCGUACGACUAAGCAUCGGCUAACUCCGUGCCAGCAGCCGCGGUAAUACGGGGGAUGCAAGCGUUAUCCGGCAUUGUUUGGUUUAAAGGGUGCGUAGGCUGUGAGGUAAGUCAGCGGUGAAAUGCCCCCGCUCAACGGGGUGAAGUGCCAUUGAUACUGCCGUGCUGGAAUGCGGAUGCCGUGGGAGGAAUGUGUGGUGUAGCGGUGAAAUGCAUAGAUAUCACACAGAACACCGAUUGCGAAGGCAUCUUACGAAUCCGCGAUUGACGCUGAUGCACGAAAGCGUGGGUAUCAAACAGGAUUAGAUACCCGUGUAGUC